UGGGGANUCUUCCGCAAUGGACGAAAGUCUGACGGAGCAACGCCGCGUGAGUGAUGACGGCCUUCGGGUUGUAAAGCUCUGUUAAUCGGGACGAAUGGUUCUUGUGCAAAUAGUGCGAGGAUUUGACGGUACCGGAAUAGAAAGCCACGGCUAACUACGUGCCAGCAGCCGCGGUAAUACGUAGGUGGCAAGCGUUGUCCGGAAUUAUUGGGCGUAAAGCGCGCGCAGGCGGAUUGGUCAGUCUGUCUUAAAAGUUUGGGGCUUAACCCCGUGAUGGGAUGGAAACUGCCAAUCUAGAGUAUCGGAGGGGAAAGUGGAAUUCCUAGUGUAGCGGUGAAAUGCGUAGAUAUUAGGAAGAACACCAGUGGCGAAGGCGACUUUCUGGACGAAAACUGACGCUGAGGCGCGAAAGCCAGGGGAGCGAACGGGAUUAGAUACCCCGGUAGUCCUGGCCGUAAACGAUGGGUACUAGGUGUAGGAGGUAUCGACCCCUUCUGUGCCGGAGUUAACGCAAUAAGUACCCCGCCUGGGGAGUACGACCGCAAGGUUG
rnacentral:rRNA from 1 species